CAUGUGUUAACAUUUCUCAGAGGUCAGGGUGAAAUAUUUGAAUCUGAGGUAUUCAAGAGAGAUACCGACUGAUAAAUAACACAAACAACAUUAAACCCUAGGCUGGUGAGAAGGAAGGUGGGAGAAAAUGCAUUUCUCAGCUUCUGGUAGGUACAGUGCCUGAGGCUGAGAGCUGAAAGCAAGAGCAAGGAUCAUCAUUGACCAAAGGAUGGACCGUAAUUUGAAAUACAGUCUUCAUCUUUAAUGAAAGGAGAUUCAAGACUGAGAAAGACUAAGAGAAAUGUUUGACGAACAUCUUGAGAAAGACAUGAAAGCAGCAGUAAACAGAAAGAAGUCCACGGAAGUCAGAGUGUGCUGGAGUCAACAAGGAGAAUUGGGGCCUGAUUGCAGAAAGUGUGCAAAACAUGGGAGGAACAUGAAAGAGGCUGUUUUGCCAGGAACAUUAAGCCAUUACUCUAUAUUGCUACAUGCACUCCCAGGAAUAUUUCUAAACAAGAAGCGAAGCAUCUCUAACUGUUUAGAGGAAAUGUUAUUACACAAUGGAGGACAAAACAGGCAAGCUACUUCAAACAGGAUAAAUGGAUGA
rnacentral:lncRNA from 1 species